AAAAAAGCCUGAGGAAACUCCGCCCACCACACAGACCGCAACGCCGCAAGGCGUAGGGCGAGAGCCCUGGCUCCAGAACAGAAACGGAACGUCCAUCAAGCCUGUGACGCUGAGGCGUGCUAAGUCGCCGAGUAGGCUUGGUGGAAACGGUGAAACGGCUGUCCUGCGGGGUGGAAGGGCAAAUAGGCGUCGAUGAGUUCUGUGCGAGACGCGGGUAGCCCGUAUAGUUGAAUGCCGUCUAGAACAGAAGGCGGGUUACGUGUCAGCACAC
rnacentral:RNase_P_RNA from 1 species